GUGGAAGGCUUUUUUUUUUUUUUUAACUGUACAGCUCACCACAUUUUUAACCACAGCAGAAACUGCUUUCAGGGCCCAGUGAUGGACUGGUGACCUUUCCAGGGUGAACCCCACCUCUCAUCUGAUGCCUGCUGGAGAUGGGCACCACCAGCCGCCCUCACCACCCAUGCAAGCGUCUCUGUUGCGCUGAGCGUUUCACUGGCAGAGAAGCUGUAUUCCUAAAAUAUAGGUUUAUACUUUAUGCAUUUAUAACCAGAGAGCGGACCAAUAACAAAGCUGCCACCUCUGCAUGCUGCCGCUGCUUGAUAAACCGCGCGGAUCGCGUGUGUGUCGCCUUAGACUCAAAAUGGACACAGGCUGACCUGUAUGGAUAUUUACAUCAACUUCCUGUGAGGAAUUAUGUUUCUUUGGAGAAAUCAAGGUAGGAGUCUAAAACCCGCCGCGUUAGCUCUGGUUGCUUAGCUCAAUGUGAACCGCAGGAAUAAUAUUGUGCUGUUACUGGUGCAUGUCUGAUGCAAAGGCUUUCUAACACCUUUCUCAUGUCACGACUCUGAAGACCGAAGGACGUUGUCAGCAGGUUUAAUGACAAUUAAAAGGGUAAAACUGAAA